rnacentral:rRNA from 1 species
GACGAACGCUGGCGGCGUGCCUAAUACAUGCAAGUAGGACGCAGUUGCGAACGGGAGAGUAACGCGUAGGUAACUACCUAGUAGAGGGGGAUAAAUAUUGGAAACGAUAGCUAAUACCGCAUACUAGUAGAUGGACCUGCGUUGUAGUAGCUAGUAGGUCGGGUAAUGGCCUACCUAGGCAACGAUACAUAGCCGAGCUUGGAGGGUGAACGGCCACACUGGGACUGGGACAAGGCCCCGACUCCUACGGGAGGCAGCAGUAGGGAAACUUCGGCAAUUGGGGGAACCCUGACCGAGCACCGCCGCGUGAUUGAAGAAGGUUUUCGGAUCGUAAAGCUCUGUUGUUCAGGAAGCGUUACUUAACCAGAAAGGGACGGCUAACUACGUGCCAGCAGCCGCGGUAAUAC